CCCAUCCAUCUGGUCCAUCAACCUGGUGACCUUGUAUCCGAGGCUCUUAAGUCUUUUCCAUGUCCCUUCCGCAGGUCUUCUUCAUGUUUAUACCUGUACUUUACUUUGUCUUCUGCUGAUCUUAUUCUUAAUUUCCUUCCUUUCACUCGGGGAGACUCCAACUUGACAAUAUCUUUGUCCCUUCUCGACAAGUCAGCCCCUUUUCCAUAGUCAACACUGAAAUCCAUAUGAUAUUUAAAGGCAUGUUUCAAAGUCCCUCCAAAGUUAAGGGCCCCCACAACUCCGAACUCCCCCCGGCCCAAAGCCAGACUUGAAAGGUCAAAACAUCCCUGCAUAGGGGGAUCCAUCCAACCCCCCAUCUCCAAGCCAAACAGAACUCCAUCUCUCCAAAUCUGACUUUUUCCAGGUUCAUUCGUCAAAUCCAACAACUCAUGUUCCUGCUGGGCCACAGCUCUCUCCAUUUCUGCUACUUGAGGUUCAGCAACAACCUCCUCCUUUAUCUGAUCUGUCAAAGCACAUUCCUGGAUUAAUUCCUGAGUGGGUUCUAUAUAGGUACCCACUGCCUGUCCAAAAUUUCCGACCACAACAGUCAUCAAAUCCAUCUUCUCAUGUAACUGUUCCAAUAAAGCGCUUGUCUUGCAAAAAGCAAGCACCAAAGCCUCCUCUAAGCACAUUCGAAGUCUGGUCCCACAAUCUUUAAUCUCUACAGCUGCAAAGCUCCCCAGUUCGACUUUAAUAACAGUUUCACAUGCUCCCUCUAGGGGAAGCAAUUUCUAUUUGUAUCCAUCUUUUUUUUUAAAAAAAAAGCAGAUCUAGCAACAAAGUUUUCCUUUUUCGGAUAUUUUGUUCCUUUUAAAUGCGAAAGGGAACAAUGGAAUCAAUAUGUUUCUCUUUUGACUAUCUGUCAAAAACGUUUGUCCAUAGUCAAUGAACUUCCCCAAAACGUCUGUCCUGACACCCCGCUCCCAGGUUCAAGACGGUGGAAAUUUACCUUUCUUUACUCUCUCUUCUGCAGGUUUAAACAGUCUAAAAAAGGUUCCCCCCUCUUCUCCUGCUUCCAAGGGGGGUUCAGUAAUUUUAAAUGAUGAAAAUUUAAUCCUUUACAAACAACUUUCCAGACUCUAGCUUACGAUGUCUUUGCUUCAAACUGUUUACAAAAGCGGAAGGCGGACUUCCUGUUUAGACCUUCCCGCUCCGGUGCCAAAUUACGAAGUUUAGUAAUCCAAUUUUCCGUUCUACUCACGGGUACUUGUUUAGAGUCCAAUUGUCCACAGGAAAAAAGUCAGCGCUCUCCAACAACAGCAAUGCGGCUUCACUCCGUGAAUAGAGCAGUCGAUUCGAAGCACCGCGCCGCUCACCCCACGUCGCUCCGGAUCCCCGUAGCCGAGUUUCCCCGCGAGUAGGGGAGGCGCUAAAGGUGUCAGCCGAAUCCCAGGUACACAGGCUUCUCCCGCCUGUGGUUUUUGAUGGGUCUCCGCCUCGCCGUGGCGGUCCAGACCCUAAUUUUCACGGAGCGGGUUCCUCCAGAUCAGAGGAAGCCCACCAUCGCCGGUGGCGCUAACCCGGAAGUCCUCUGCUUCCCCCACAAUUCAAGGUCAUGUGUGUAUUUCCCUGCUUUGUUUGAUUGCUGUAUUUAUCUUCUGUACCUGAUGGUUUUAUUGUACCCCUGUAUAUUUGUUGUAUUUUAUCUUAAACUUAAAGGUGUUGUUUAAGUAACUGUUAGUAAAUAAUAAUACUGAACAAUGAUCAGUGAUCCUUUCCAGCAUGAGCUUAAAUUAGGCCUGAACAUGGAGGGACACAAUUACAAGCUGCGCCACAAGAGGAAAAAGGGGCUGGAAUAAUUUCAUGGCAAUGUGUUGUUAUAAAAUUGAAAACUCACCCUGAAGCUGCUUAAACUCAACUUUACGCACACAUAGGGUAUACCCUUUGGUAAAUAUGUUUAGGAUUGAAGCAUAAAUCACUUCUCAAUUCAUUUUUGAAACUUACCAUACGGUUAUAUCGAAACCUGCAAUGGGUAUACGGAGUGAAGAAUUUUGCUACAUUCCAUUAGCUCUGCUGGGUUCAAUGGAAUAAAUGCAGCAAACAAUUCACUAGCAGAUAAGGGUAAUGAGAGACCUUGCAGGGGAUGGAAAUCUUAGGAACGCACAGAAUGGGCAGCAGUUUGCAGUUAUUGGUUAAAUGAGCCACUGAUGCAAUUCCAAGCGCUUACUGUUAACUAAGCAUUUGUGUCUUUAUUGUAUUAUAUUUUUAGCCAGCUUCCUUCUUCUGUGGAGGUUUUUUUUUUUUUUUUGCCAGCAGUUCUAGCUUUGUGUCUGAAGUGCCAACAAAGCUGUUAGUUUGAGCAAAUUGUUUUCGGUGACAACCUUUAGAUUAAGAUCAUUUCAGACUUCCAGUAAGGAACACACACACACACACACACACACACACACACACACAUUUUGACCUUUGUCUGCCCAAGAUAAAGCCAAAGAAGAGAUAAAGAAAAAGAGGCAAAUUAGAAUGGAAUGAAAUGUAAGAUCUAGAUAAAUAUCAGCAUUAAGAGUUUGCUUUCCUGCAUGAUUUUAUACACCACCUUUCUUUAUCUCUAAAUGAAACCCCUGCCCCAAUGCUAAUCUUACCUCACCUGGGAGUUCCUCCAUUUUUUUAUUUAUUUAUUAAAUUUAUAUACCACCCUUGAACUGAAGAUCAGAGGGCCGUUUACAAUAUAAAAACACACAAAAAUACAUAACAUAGUAACAAACAAAAACAAUACCCCUCCGUCAGUUUAAAAUGCCAUAGAAUGUUUAAUUACCCAAAGGUCUAGGAGAAGAGGAAUGUUUUUACCUGUCAUCUAAAUAUACGUAAUGAAGGCGCCAAGUGAACCUCACUGCAAAAAGCAUUCCACAAACAGGGAGCCACCACAGAAAAGGUCCGUUCUCGUGUUGCUGCCCUCCAGACCUCUCACGGAGGAGGCACACAAAUGGCCUCAGAUGAUAAUCACAGGGUUAGGGUCAGCUCAUAUGGGGAGAGGCAGUCCUUGAGGUAUUGCAAUUAUCACUUCUACUAUUUGGGUUCCCCUUUUUCUGAAUUUUCCCCCAGCUCUACAAUAUCCUUUUUGAGGCAAGGUCAUCAGAAUGGUAUAUUAGUAUUCCAAGCACAGUCCCACCAUAGAUUUGUAAGUAAGAAUGUGCCAUAGAUCUGGUGCAUUCACUUCUUUCCUCUGCAAUGCUUGCACAGUAGUGUCUAGAUAUCAAUAAAGGCAAAUGACUAACACAGCUAUCAUCCACCAGUACCUAAAGGCUUUGACCUUGAGCAGUAUUACGGUAGCUCUUGCUACCAAUGCUGCUGACCUAUUACUUAGCAGAGGUGAUGGUGAGGAGAGGCUACCUUGUGCCUGCACUGUGACUGCAUGCUACCAUAUAUUGAUGUUUGAUUCACAAUUGGACCUGUAUUUCUAGAGAACAGAUGCUUGUUACACAGCUCUUUGCAAGCUAGUGAGGAACAUCAGGCAGUGUCUAGCCAUGAGGGCAGGAUCCAGCCCCUGCUUUGUAGGCCAUAAUAUGCACAGUUUAAAUGUGUCUGGACGAGUCUGGAAUGUAUAUGUGGGUGUGUUUGAUACACACAGUCAUACUGGCAAUCACAGUUUGUCAACCAAUGUUCCCAGUUCCAUUUGGCAAGGCUUGGAGAUUCAUUGCACAAGCGAAGCAAACUGAAGUUCAUUAGAUGAAACAACUUUUUCAUAUUCUUCCUUGGAAGGAAAGAAAAAGAAGUCUAGCUAGACACUUCCAGUUCUGUUACAGUAGUAUGGGUUUCUUUUACACUAUAUACUGUACUAUGCAGGCAGAAACUUGCCUUGCUGGAUGUUGUUUAAUUCAAAAUUGCUCAAGUGCUGUAUAUUGGGGGCUGUUGUCAAGGUGGCUUGCAAGUUGUUCUUGGAAGCUAUUUUUUUUUUAUUUGAUGUCUUUCAUUACUUUUAAUUAAAACACUGGAGGCAUUUUGGGUUUUGUUUCCUAAAAAGAUUGCAGUAGUAUUAGUGCUUCAGAACUACCAAGGUUGGGAGCCGAAAUUCAGUGUGCAUCAAUAUGAGUUUCAACACACACAAUAAGAGCAGGCAUAAUAUUAGAUUCAUUUUUUUUAUUUCGAUUCAGAUAUUGUAACCUUAGGUCUAUAUAAUAUGAAACAGAUAAUUAAGGCUUCAGCUCUAAACACACCUACUUUAAAAUGAAUCACUUUGAAACUGAAGGUGAGGACUUAAGACAGGAGUGGAUAACCUGGACUACAACUCCGUGACUACUGAGAAUGCUGGCUGGGAAUGAUGGAAGAUGAGCUUCCAAUACCAUCUGAAGGACCACAGGUUUCCCACUCCUGGUUGAAAGCAUAUUGGAUUCCAAAACUAAAUAUAUAGCAACACAAUCCUAAGCAUAUCUAUUCAGAAGUCCCUUUGUGUUCAUUAGGGUUUACUCUCAGUUAUAGGAUCACUGCGUAAGUUCCUGUUCUGCCACAGAUCAACAAUCAUCCAACACUAUGAAGUGUUCUCUUAGAAAGUCUGGGUCCCCUUUGUAAAUUUGCAUACUAGCAGGUAUGUAUGGGUUAUCUCCAAUUGUCUUCUUGCUCAAAAAAUGGUUGCGAAGACAGCAUAACAGUAUCCACAACUACACUGAUAAGGAGCAAGUGGAAAAAAGGCAACAUGGAUUCUUCUGUAAGAGUUGGCUCCCUUUUUGGAGCAGUUAUUAGUGUAGGAACCAAGGAAAGACCAUGUGGCAGGAGGAAAUGCAGCAUACUUUAGGGCAUGGCUGACCAACCUCUGGGCUAAAGCUCCCAUCUUCCUUGACUAUUGGCCUUGCUGGCUGGGGCAGAUGAGAGCUGGAGUGAAACCACAUCUGGAGGUGCACACGUCAGCCACCCCUACUUUAAGGUCAUCACACACUUUGUGUUCAGGAGGCCCCAGUUCCCCAGUUCUGAGGACUUGAAAUGCCAGGGCCCAGAAGUACUUAGGCUCUAGAGAGCUCCUGCCAGCCCGAAUACACCAUAUAGUAGGCUGGAUGGACCAAUGACCUGAUUCAGUAUGCAGGGCAGUUUCAUAUAAUCAGAAUAUAUGAAGAUAAUAUUGGCUAUGGAAAUAUAUCCACAACGAAUGCGGAUACAGCUGAGAAGAGGGCAUGGACUUGCCUUGACAGACAGAGAAAUCACAAUUGCAUCUGUCAUAGGGAUCAGCAUGGCACAAGAUUUAGGGAGGGGAAUGGCACAUGAAGCAGGAAUUGAGAAAGAGGAACAAAAGACACAAAAGCGGGAAUAGAAGAAAGGAAGAAAUCAGCAUAGGGUGAGUCAAUCGACAAACCAUCAUUAUAAAGCAACCCACUAUUUACAUCUCCUAGCCUUACCCCCACCCCAGCAUUUGAAAUAUAAGGGUUGCCUAUUUUUAUCCCAGCCUUAAAAAAAUAGACCCUCAAGGUGGCUCACAAUAGUUUAAGUACAACAAAAUCAAACCAUUCAGAAUAACCUUUAAAAGACAAAAAAAGAGAACUAAGCAGUAGCCAGUAGCAGCACAGCAGAGAGACCAAAUUGCUCUUGUAGCAGUAUCCAUGUGAAGCUCCCUAUGUACUCAAGAAAUGCAAAAUAAAUGUUAAGUACCAUUAUUACUGAGGUAGCAAUUAUUGUUGAACUUUUUGUUUGCAGAUGACAGUAAAACUCUUGAUUUUAAAAUGCCAUAAUGGUUUAAGAAGGCAGCUUGCCAGAGGCUUUCUCUAUUAUAUUUCAGUGCAUUAAGCAGCAAGAGGAAGCAAACACUCACAUUUAUAAAGUGUUGCAAUGAAAUGGUGGCAGAGCCCGUCUGCCGCUCUUCGGUAACUGCAGGAGGGGUCCACAGAAACCUCUCUCACCGCCACCAAAUUUGAGUUUUGCCUCAAGUCAAAUAAAGUUUCAACAGAUAUUUGGCAGCUGCUCCAGUCAUGCAGCUACUAGCCACUCGUUCCAUAACCUAGUCACUCCGUCAAAUGCUUUUGACAAGCUGGAUCUUGAGAAAAUGUAAAAUCAACAACAUUCACAUAUGUAUUCCCGUAAGCUUUCAGCAGUGGAUUCUGUACUGACACCAACGCCAGCUUGGUGAAUGUUAGAAAUGAUACUAAGUUUCUUUCUGCAGAAGUGGUGAUCUGUUGCAACAGGCACAACAAAGACUAACAAUCCUUAUGCCAUUAAUAAAUGUGCUACACUGUGUUGUAUUUAUUCUGCCACAGCUUGGGACUGGUAUUUGUGCUUUGAUUCAAGACAUCCUAGCUGCAUUGUAGGGUUUCUAGUCUAAAACUGAUGGCAGAGCCCAUUGUGCAGUACAACUGCAGUAGUAAGAUUCACAUGUGAGACUGUCUGGAACUGAUGGAAAACUGAACAUGGGGUAUAAUGGUGAAUCUGAGAGCUAGUAGUACUUGCAAUCACACUGUGAUAUAAUUAUACAUGUGAUGAUGAUGGUGGUGGUGAUGAUGAUGAUAUUAACUAUUAGCAGCAGCAGCUGUUGUUUAGUCGUUUAGUCGUGUCCGACUCUUCGGACCAGAGCACGCCAGGCACUCCUGUCUUCCACUGCCUCCCGCAGUUGCAGCAGCAUUAGUAGCAGCAUUAAAAACAGAAGCCACAUCAUACACUAACCCAACUGCAUUUGUUAAGAAUAAUAAUGAAUAAUAAUAAUGUAAUGCUGAAGUGUCCAUUUUUACCUUCAAGGAAGCUACACUUAUAUAGCAAUAAAUAAGACAGAAGGGGGAACUGGGAAGAUUUCUGAGCACAAUAUACAUUAGUUGGGCAGUGAAACAUCUUUUCAAUAGUUAGGAAUAAAUCUUAAAUCUUUAAUAUCUCUUGCAGUCUCAUUUUAAUCGCAUCAUAAAAUAUUACAUGGUAUGAGCAGUGGUGUAAGGGUGCAGGUUCCUAAUUUCUGGUCUGUUCUGAGAAGCUGGCUGGGGCUCAGCAUUUGUGGAUUGGGGGGCUGCUGGCUUUUGAAUUAGAUUUUCUGUGAAAAUUCACAUCCAAAUUCUGAUCAAAUAUUGUGGACCCAGCAUAUUUCCAAAGCAUGGUCUGGAAAUUCCGGUGACUAUACCAAAAUCUGCCACUUAUUAUAUUGGUCAUGUGUAGGAAUGGGUGAGAAAUCGGAUUCAGUACACAUUUAAAGGCAAAUCUAUUGAGCUUCCGCUUUCCACAACAAUGCACAAACUGAAACACAGAUAGAUAACCUUCAAUAGUUGCACUUAUCUGAAUUUUGCGAUGCAAUUAUCUAACCCACAAUGCUUACAACAAUGCAUAUUUCAUGGGGAAGUGUGCACAAAAAUGAGUAUGUCAAUGAAAAUAACUUACAAAUAUAUAUAUUAGGGAGGAAAUGCAAAAAAUGUGUACAUUAGUCAAAACUGCAUAUCUCAGGAAUUUUCAUAAGGGUUUUUCCCUUUUAAAAAUCCACAAAUCACUGUUGAAAUUUAUCACUGCUGAAAUGUGGAGAACAGACUUUCAGAUGGGAAAAAAUGAGAAAUGGAGAGAAUCAAAAUGGACAGAUCCUUCUAUUCCUAGUGAUGUGCGAAAUCUGCAUAGACUGAACCAAGCCCUAACUGUCCACCCCUAACCACUGUUGCCUCACUCCAGGUACAAAAGAUGCCUAAAUUUAGGAUGUCAAGUAACUCAUUUUUAGUACUAUUUGGACUAGCCUUGAUUUUUCAGUUUGAUUUUUCUCCCCUGACCCAACAGUAGCUUAGACUCAGGGCUCUUCCUUGAAGGCUGAUUCUCUAUCGCCAAGUGGUGAGUGGAAUUCUAUUGCCAUUUCUCUUAGCAGCCUCUUGCCCCAGGCUCUAACACAUACAUCCUCAACUUCCUUUUGCUCGACAGUUGUACUAGGGAAAAAAGUUGAUAAAAGCAGUUCUAAGCCUUUGAAGAUAAUUCAUACAUUGGUUAACAGCUGUAAUAAAAGGAGCAAAAAUUACAGCACAGCUCCCGGCACCUAACAUUAAAGACCAUUGCAUUUUAUAAAGCCAAUAAAUCAAACAUUCUUAGACUACAACUUCUGGUUAAAAUCAAGAUAAUUGGUGCAUCACCCAUUCUCAUAAUGACAGCAAAAAAUGGACCCUUGAAAGAAUUAUGAUUUUCAGAACCUGUACUUAAAAAAUAAAAAACAACAACCCCAAACUAAGCAAAUAUGUGUAACUUCCUCAGGCUCAAUAUAUUAGGUACUGCUCCUGUCCAAGCAAGAUUCACUGAAAUUUGACAUUGCUAGAGCUCUCCUGUCUUAUGGAUACUCACAGCAGGUGAUGUUUCAGGAUGGGAUAAGAGAAAAUCAAGCUGUGUUAGUUUAAUGUAAACUUAAGUCUCAUCCAGCCUAGCAAUGCAUCUGUAGAAAUUAUCAGAUCACUUAAUCCCCUGUGCAGGGCAGACUAUGGGCAGAUUCAGGAAACAGUGUGAGUUAGGUUUAGAGAAGGACAAGACCUUUGUCAGCUGGUCUACAAGAGUAGUUAGUCAGGUGACUGCCUGACUGCAAAUGAGGUACCAACUGAAGCCUAGAAGUAUACCAGAUCUGCCUUUUCAGCACUAGAAAGCCUACAGCUGAAUGAGGCUGUGAAUUCUCUCUACUCCAGGUAGUCUCGAUAGCAGACUGCCCGGUGUGCAGUUGUUCUCAAGUGCUUUUUCUCCCCUCAAGUCACUGUGUUGACUGAGCGAAUUAAUGAAUGAAUGAUUAGGAGCUAAGUGCAAAGCUAUCGUGAAACAGCAUAACAUUCACUUAAAUAAACUAAAGGUGCUCUCAGAUAUGCUAAGGCAGCCCAGAAAACUCAUGUUGUUAUCAGAUGCAGAAUGUUUGGACAGUUCUUUCCAAACCCAGCAUAUACAGUGGUACCUCGGGUUAAGUACUUAAUUCGUUCUGGAGGUCCCUUCUUAACCUGAAACUGUUCUUAACCUGAAGCACCACUUUAGCUAAUGGGGCCUCCUGCCACCGCUGUGCUGCCGCUGCAUGAUUUCUGUUCUCAUCCUGAAGCACAGUUCUUAACCCGAGGUACUAUUUCUGGGUUAGCAGAGUCUGUAAUCUUUUUUUUUAAAAAAAAUAUUUUUUAUUAACAGACCAAUCAAAUCACAUAAAUUCCGAAUUACAGAGUUUAAUUUUAAAUUUUUGUUGAGGGUACCCAUAUUUCAAGUUCUGAAAGGGAUCCAAUCCUCUUGUUGCUUCUGCUUUAAAAGUCCACAAAUCUGUCCAAAUAAUGUUCACAAUUCUGUCCAAUCCUUUCUUGCUGUUUUCCACAUCUCUUCUAGUUGUUUUCAUAUAUUUUUCCUUUCUCUUUGUCUUUGUGGCCUCUGAUAGUCUCCAUAAGCGUGUUGAAACAAAUUUGUAUUCCUGUGUGGAUUUUUCCGUUCGUUCAAGAGUCAUAUUUCAGACAGCUGCCGUAUUUCAUCGCUUCCAUAAAGAAAAACAUUCUUGCUGUCUACUCAAACUUUUCACAGGUCUGUCCCUCUUUCUCAACUGUUCUUAACCUGAAGCACCACUUUAGCUAAUGGGGCCUCCUGCUGCCGCUGCGCCACCGGAGCACGAUUUCUGUUCUCAUCCUUAAGCAAAGUUCUUAACCCGAGGUUCUAUUUCUGGGUUAGCAGAGUCUGUAACCUGAAGCGUCUGUAACCUGAAGCGUAUGUAACCCGAGGUACCACUGUAAAUGAAGUUACUUCUGCAUUGACCAGAUGUCACAUAAUCACACGUCCAGUGGAACAGUCAGUUCCGCCAUUGUGAAACUUUUCUGUUGACUGGAUUUUAUAGUUAGCUGUUGAGGCCCUGCUCUCUGGUUUGUCAGUAAGAGGUUGAUGGUUACCAAUGAUGGUUACCAGUGGUGGCCCCACACAUGUCAAAUUCUCUUCCCCAUGACAUAUGAGUCACUUCAUCUUUGGAAGCUUUUUUAAAAACAAACAUUAAUUUCUAGUGAUAUUAACUGGGACUGUUCUAUUAGUAAGGUGUAAUGUGGUUUAUAUUGCAUGAUAAUUUUGUUAUGUUUCAUGACUAUUAUUACUGUAUAUUUAGAAAAUCUUACAUCAUCUUGAAAGAUUUGACUGAGCCCUCCAAGCCAGUCUGUAAACCAAGUUACAAAUAAUUAGUUGCAGCAAAUACCAUGAAGCUGGCUUAGAAAAUUAGCUUAGCUGGGCAGAAGUUUUUAUUUAUGUGGCAAACCCUUUCAUAUGAAAGGGUUGGUAGGGAUGUAACUCCCAGCUGGUGAACACCGAGACAAUUUAACCAUAAACCUGAUGUGUGAUAAAUAGUAUCCUGUCAGCAGAUUACUGAUAAAGAAGGGAGUGGUUGUGCUACAGAUGAAAGAAAGUAAGAUUAUAACCAGUUGGAAGUCUGUAAAAUACUGUGCUUAUCUCUGUUGUAUAAAAGGGAUUUUUUUUUUUAAAUGUGGGACUAUAACACAAACAAUUUCAUACUGAUAUAAUAAAUACUCAAGGCCUCAACCAUUUUCAGAUUACAGUUGCAAUAAAGGUAUGCAAAUUUAAUUACUGUUUCAGAUCAUAAAGCUCUGGGUAUUCAAACUCUGGUUACUCUGUGCAGUCACCUCUUCUCAGAGGGACAUAAAGCAAGCUCAGGGAGACCAGUCAAAACAGAUACAUUAUCAUGGAGCUUCCUCAAACAGAGGCCUCGUUUUCCCUAUACAGUCAUACCUCGGGUUGAAUACGCUUCGAGUUGAGCGUGUUCGAGUUGCGCUCCGCGGCAACCCAGAAGUAACGGAGUGCGUUACUUCAGGGUUUCGCCACUUGCGCAUGUGCAGAUGCUCAAAAUGACAUCACACGCAUGCCCAGAAGUGACGAAAAGCAAUGUGCGCGUGCACAGACCUGCCGUUGCUAGUUACGUUUGCUUCUAGAUGCGAACGGGGCUCCGGAAUGGAUCCCGUUUGUAUCUAGAGGUACCACUGUACAUUUAAAGCCCUUGAAGCAAUCAUGGUUUAUCCCAACGAAUCCUGGGAACUGUAGUUUGUGAAGCACUGCAAGCUGUUAGGACGUCACUUUUCCUCUCCCAGUUCUAAAAUUUUCAUAGCACCUCAACAGUUAAUCCCUCCCCCCACUGCACUCUGGGAUUGUAGCUCUGUGAUGAGAAGAAGAAUAGUAUAAUUAUUGCUUAUAAUGCAAUGAAUACAAUCAUAUAAGAUUAGUGUGAGAGAUUUGGGCAGACACGUUAAAAUCGACUUCUGCUCCUGUUCUUCUCAUCAUUUUUGGGCCCAAGUAAAAGGUUUUAUGGUAUUUUUGGCAGUAACAUAGCUUUUGUUGAACCUCAAAAGGAAGGAAGUUUCACAACUGGUUCUAAAUGUGUGCAACCAGGUUAAUUCAGAAUGUGCUCACGUCGUCACUUCACCUCCCUACCAGUUCUGUUCCCUGCACCUUCCUACCACAGGAGCACUGGAUGCUGGUAUAUUAGGGUGAGGGGGGCACUGUCCUGUCAACAUCACUCCGCCCCUGGCCACUCCCCACUUGUUUGCCUUCAUGCUUACAACCAGUCUAGGGGAUGGCACUGCCUGUCAGUUUCCUCCUCCUUAAUCUCAUUGUUCAGAGGUGGAUUUGGGAAGCACGACUAUUUCGGUCACACUGGGCACUGAGCCUCCGGGGCACUGCAGAGGGUGCCACAACUAUGAUUGAGAAUGGAGCAUGCGAGGUGGGAGGGCACUGAAUUUUGCUGUUGCACAGGGCACUGCUAAAAUUUGAGAACCCAAGGUCCACCAUGGCAGUGUAGGCCUUGUAAAACUCAGCAGGGAGAGGGAUGGGAGCAGAAGAUGGGAGCAGAAUUAGUUGACUAUGCUGGUAAUUGACUUUGGGUCUGCCUGCUGUUGGCCCUUCCACCUUCUGCCCAACCAAUCCCAAUGGUAGGUGUAGAUCAAAAGGAGUUUUCUUAAUCUAGCCAUGGAUGCCAGUGUUCACUCCUCCUCUUUGAUAUGUUCAGGUGGCUGGUACAACUUAAGUUGCCUUUGAGGCUGUGCAAUGGCUGUGGCAUCCUACUACUGAAGACUUAAAAAACAGAAAAGAAGCUCUCUGAAUUGGGAUGUAUUGCUGGCUUUCUGCAGAAGUGGUCUCUACCAAUCAGCUCUUAAGGAGAGGACUGUGAUUAGAGCCAUUCAUCAAAGACAUUUUAAAAAGUGUUAUAAUGGUGACAUAACAUGGGGUGGGGUGGGUCACAUAAGUGGGGUGGGUCAUUUCAAUCAUGUGGACUGGUUUUUCCCGUUUUCCCAUCAUUGUUAUUGUGGUUUUAUAAGGUGCAGUAGAUUCCCUUCAACCAUAACCAAAUUGCCCACAUGAUAAGUCAAAACUUUUCUUAUCUUCUUUUUUCUGAAGAUUUUCCGCAGACCAAAAGAGAAAGAUGGAAAAUGAUUUCCCAAUACUGUGCAAACCACUUCAUUUAAAUUCCAUAUGUUGCUCCGAAAAUCAAUGAUACGGCAAAAGAAAAAAUCAGAUUGUUAGAGCGAAUCUUGUUUUAUACCUGUUUUGUUUAAUAAUAAGGCUUUAUUAAUGCACUUGAUUUAACCAAGUGAUCCAACCACUAAACUGUGUUUAUAGUGUGAUACUAAAUAACAUCAAACACGCUUCAUGGUGAGCUACCUUAAUUGAGUUCAUAAAAUGUGCUCUGACUUCAUUACGAUUUGUAAAUUGCUUAGAUGCACAUGAUGCAACGAUAACCAAAUAUUUUCCCUAAUCAUUUGAAAUAAAUAUAGCCAAUGUGGUUCAUUUCAAAAGAGAGUUAGCUCGGCUGCAUUUUCUAGGUCAUUUAGUUCCUCGCCUUUUGGGUUACCAGGGUGUGAAGGAGAUUUCAAUAUAUUUUAAGGAGCUUCUUGCACAUGACUCACAAACGGUAUGCUUUUGGACUUGGGAAUGGGGUGAAAUAGCCCAUAGAAAGACUGAGGUACCCUGUAAGCCUUCUUGUAGUUUGUGGGCCUAAAAAGAAAAAAGAAAAAAUAUUGGUGGGGGAAGCAAAGCUUUCCCUUACCCUAUCCAGGUAAGCUGCAGAAACACUGGCACAUCAGCUGUUACUGGCAGGUUGGUUAAAACAUACCUAUUCACAAGGGCAUCCACCAGGCUUACCAGAAAUGCAUAACACUGCUGCUGUUUUCAUAAUAUUUAUUUAUACCCUGCCUUUUUCCAUGACAGGACUCAAGGUGGCUUACAGGUGAAAAUAAGAGCCGCUGAAAACAAAGGGGGUAUCAUUAAAAAGCAAUGAAACAUUGAUAGAAUUAAAACUACAGACAUAUGAAAUCUAUUAAUUUUUUUAAAUGAUAUUUAUUGAGAAUUUUAAAAUUACAAAGAAAAAAGGAAAAAAACAAGAGAAAGAGAAAAAAGAAAGAAAGAAAAGGGUAGAUAAAAAUAACAAUUAAACAAUACAAAUCAAUAAAAACCAAAGUCAAAAAGAGAAAACAAAACACACAAUACAUCAAAAGCAAAAAGCAAAAAUAAACAAAAAAAUUAAAAACAUAUCCAAUAUUCCCAAAUCCUUAACUUUCAUUAUCUUAUUUCAUCAACCUCCUCACACCUCCCUUUUUUGUAUUCUAGUUGUUAAUUAUCUCAGCAAAUCCUUUCCAUCUUUCACAAUAUUCUGUCAUUAAAUUAUCUUAAUCUAUUUUAACCUUAUCUUGCCAUAAAAAACCUUAAAGCUUAAAACUUAAAUCUUAUUUAUACCAAAUUCUUUUAACCAUAACAUAUUCUUACAUAAUUCUUUUUAACAUUUCUGCUAAAGCCAAAUAAUUUCAUUCCAACAUUUUUCUAAUACUCAUUAAUUUUACGAUACUUUUCUAAAUAAUUUUUUAAAACUUUCUUCCAAUCUUUAUCCAUCGUCUCUUCUUCCUGGUCUCGGGUUUUGUCAGUCCUUUCUAUCCCAUCCAUCUAGUCCAUCAACCUGGUGACCUUGUAUCCGAGGCUCUUAAGUCUUUUCCAUGUCCCUUCCGCAGAUCUUCUUCAUGUUUAUACCUGUACUUUACUUUGUCUUCUGCUGAUCUUAUUCUUAAUUUCCUUCCUUUCACUCGGGGAGACUCCAACUUGACAAUAUCUUUGUCCCCUCUCGACAAGUCAGCCCCUUUUCCAUAGUCAACACUGAAAUCCAUAUAGUAUUUAAAGGCAUGUUUCAAAGUCCCUCCAAAGUUAAGGGCCCCCACAACUCCGAACUCCCCCGGCCCAAAGCCAGACUCGAAAGGUCAAAACAUCCCUGCAUAGGGGGAUCCAUCCAGCCCCCCAUCUCCAAGCCAAACAGAACUCCAUCUCUCCAAAUCUGACUUUUUCCAGGUUCAUUCGUCAAAUCCAACAACUCAUGUUCCUGCUGGGCCACAGCUCUCUCCAUUUCUGCUACUUGAGGUUCAGCAACAACCUCCUCCUUUAUCUGAUCUGUCAAAGCACAUUCCUGGAUUAAUUCCUGAGUGGGUUCUAUAUAGGUACCCACUGCCUGUCCAAAAUUUCCGACCG